AUUACUCCUACGGGAGGCAGCAGUGGGGAAUCUUGCGCAAUGGGCGAAAGCCUGACGCAGCGACGCCGCGUGGGUGACGAAGGCCUUCGGGUUGUAAAGCCCUGUGGAGAGGAACGAACCGUUUGGUGGAUAACACCCAUCAAGCCUGACGGUACCUUUUUAGCAAGCAUCGGCUAACUCUGUGCCAGCAGCCGCGGUAAUAAU
rnacentral:rRNA from 1 species